AACGCACAUUGCGCCCGCCGGUAUUCCGGCGGGCAUGCCUGUUCGAGCGUCAUUUUCACCAAUCAAGCCUGGCUUGGUAUUGGGCGCCCGCGGUUCGCCGCGCGCCUCAAAGUCCCCGGCAGAGCAGCCCGUCUCCGAGCGUUUGACAUCCAUCUCGCUUGCCCGACGGGGGGUUCUCGCCGUUAAAACUUUAUACAGGUUGACCUCGGAUCAGGUAGGGAUACCCGCUGAACUUAA
rnacentral:misc_RNA from 1 species